AACGUAGGACACAAGCGUUAUCCGGAAUUAUUGGGCGUAAGGAGCUUGUAGGCGGUUUGUCGCGUCUGCCGUGAAAAUUCGAGGCUCAACCUCGAACUUGCGGUGGGUACGGGCAGACUAGAGUGUGGUAGGGGAGACUGGAAUUCCUGGUGUAGCGGUGAAAUGCGCAGAUAUCAGGAGGAACACCGGUGGCGAAGGCGGGUCUCUGGGCCGAUAUUGACGCUGAGGAGCGAAAGCGUGGGGAGCAAACAGG
rnacentral:rRNA from 1 species